rnacentral:rRNA from 1 species
UACGAAGGGUGCAAGCGUUACUCGGAAUUACUGGGCGUAAAGCGUGCGUAGGCGGUUUGUUAAGUCUGUUGUGAAAGCCCCGGGCUCAACCUGGGAAUGGCAAUGGAUACUGGCAGGCUAGAGUGCGGUAGAGGGUAGUGGAAUUCCCGGUGUAGCGGUGAAAUGCGUAGAGAUCGGGAGGAACACCAGUGGCGAAGGCGGCUACCUGGACCAGCACUGACACUGAGGCACGAAAGCGUGGGGAGCAAACAGG